AGGUAGGAGGUGGUUGGAUGGCAUCCAGCUGCAGCGCCCGAUGAAUGGCCAGCCUGGAAUGCUUAUGCCUCCUCAUUGGUUCAUAGCCUCCCUGCUUCAUAAUUUCCUGAGCCCUAGCAUAUUCUGGUUGAAAAACUGAAGGUGGGGAUGCAAGGCCAUUGGUGUGAUGGGUGGCUAGGAUAUGGAAGAGGACCUUGGUGAACCCCAGGGAACCAGAAUUCCUUUCUGCCUGCCUCUGCUUAGCUGACCUCUGGCCUUCAUCUUGUUUUUAAAGACUAGCCACCCAUUCCAGCUGCCCAGAGGGAGACUUGUCCAUUAGCCAGGAGCUGCGCCUGAUAAAGAAUGCGACCAAGGAUUCAUACAGACUUUACAAUUACCUCUUCGUGAAGCACGUGUGAGGAUGAACUCAGAAUCUCAAGUGUGGGAAAGGGCCUCAGAGGCUAUUUAAGCAAAUCUGUACCUGAGCAAGGAUACCUCCUGCAGUAUUUCUAAUAAGCAGUCUUACACUCUUUGCUUUAAAACCCCUAGUUAGUGGAAAUGUCACUACCUCCUGAGGAAGCCCUUGCACUUUAAUCUCUAAUUGUUGAAAUAUUUACCUUCUUCCAAGCCCAGAUCUUUUGCCCAUUGCUCAUAGUUUUGUUUUCUGAAGCCAAAUAGGAUAAAUCUGUGUGCCAGGGCUUCCAAAGCUUGAAGUCAGCCAUCAUGUAUUUCCUGCCUGUCUUCCACUUCCCAAACAUUGGGCCUGAAUCUUCUUUGCUCCAGGCUAAACAUCCCUAGUUCUUCAGCCUAUCGACAUUUGGCACUUUUCUUCAAUGUAAUCUCUAUCCUGCUUCUCUUUCUCUAGAUACUUUUCCACUUAUCAGUAUCUUUCCUAAAAUUUCAUACCCAGAACUGAACACAGUAUACCAGAUGUGAUCUGACCAGAGUAAAGUCUAGUGGUACUGUUACCUUCCUCAUCCUAGAUAUCAUACUUGUCAAACAGCCUAGAGUAGCAUUAGCUUUUUUUUACUUACCAAAUCACACUGUUGAUUUAAUCAGCUUUCAAUUUUCUGACACCCCAGAUCUUUUUUGGAUGUAAUUCUACACUGUAGUACCUCUCCCAACUUGUAUUUGUGAAGUCUUGAUCCUAAGGGCAAGAUUGUAUAUUAAUCCAUUAAUCCCAAUUAUGUUUCAUUGUAUUAUCCAGUGCUCUAGCUUGUUGAGACCUUCUUGAGUGCUGACUCUUGUCAUCCAACCUGUCAGUGCUCUGUUUGAGCUUUGUGGAAUAUGUCUCACUUUCCUAUUUGUCUCUGAUACAUAGUGGGUACUUAGUAAAAGCAUUUGAUAAAGAUGAUUAAUAUAUUGAUAAAAAUGUUAAACAGCAUAGGACGAGCAACAGAGCCUUAGUAUACUCCCCUAGAAGUCUCCCUUCAGGUUGACUUUAGUCAUAAAUUGCUCACUAUUCUUUGGAUCUAGUCAUAGAAUCAGUUCUGAAUUUGCCUAACUAUUGUCAUCCUGCCUGCAUUUCUCUGUCUUAUCCUCAAAUAUAAGUUGAAGGACACUGUCAAACACUUUGCUGAAAUCUAGUUUAAAAAUAUUUAUGGCAUGUCCUUGAUAUAUAACUUUGUCAAAAAAGGAAGGACUUUAGUCUAACAUGACCUAUUCUUAAUGAACAUAUGCUUGCUCUUUGUAAUCACCAUUUCCUUUUCUAGAUGCUUACUAACUGUACUUUUAAUAAAGCAGCUCUUAAGUGUGGCCAAGAA